AGUAUAAUUUAGCUAUAUAUCCCCAUCGUAUACGUCGCGUUUUAUCGAACAGUUAACGCAUUAAGUUUCGCUAAAGUUUUUCUCUUAAGUCUUUAAUCUUUUCGUAUUAAUUAGCCGUAUGCAGUCGUGUAGAUAAAAAUGUAUAUUUAAUUCUACGAAAAGAAAAUUUGUCAACAGUGGCGGUAGCGAAGUAAAAGCCCCAGGACCGACUAUGAAACUAUAAUUUUAAGGUUAGAAAGAUUGUGUGGAAUACGGAUAAAUUUCUUUCUCUUUCUCUUUCUCUCGUAAUAUGCGUAUCAAAAGGACCAAAUUCUCAUCGAUAUGGCAUUGUACAAUAGGUGUUCACGACUAUUGAAGUAUUACAAGAAGACGUACGUGAGCAGUUAUCAAAGAUUUUGUAGUUUUGAGAAAUACUUGGUUGAGAAGAACGAUACCAUUGAUUUCGAGAGAUACAAAGAGCAACACGUUGAUUUCCAUAAUUCGGCGAUUUCUAAUUGUCCUCCGUCGUUAACGUUCAACACGUUAGAAAAUAAAGUUUUAAAUUUUUGUAUAAAUCUUCGAAAUGGUAGGGUCUAUCUAAAUGAUUUAGAGGAAAUUAUUCAAAUUUAUGAGAAAACGGAGAAUGUAUUAAUGGACAAUAUUGAUUUGAUAUUGCUCAAGUGUUGCGGCGAAGUGUUAUCCAGUGUCGAUCUCCUAACAAGACGAAAGUUAACUAACAAGGUAUGGAAUUUACUCGAAAAGAAAGGCUGUGAGAUAACGUUGAAACAUUAUAAUGUCCUUCUUGAAGUUUACGCGGAAAAUUUGGAAUUUGUAAAUCCGCGUGAAUUCUUAGAUAAUAUGAGGUUAGAACCCGAUCAGAGGAUAUAUUGCUCUCUAUUGAAUGUAAUAUCAAAAACUGAUGAUUCUGAAUUAACUGUCAAUAUGAUAAAGAAGAUGAAAGAGGGAAUAAAUCGUUGGAGCAAGGAAACGUUCGAUAUGAUCGUCAAAGCAAAUGCCAUGCAGGGCAAUAUCGAGGAGGCCUAUAAAGCAAUCGAAGAAAUGAAAUUCCACGAGAUCGUCCCGUCUAAUGAAACUUACGUUUACUUGGCGUACGGUUAUGCAAGGACCGGCGUUAUUUCCAACAUUAUAGACAUUUUUGAAGAGUACCAUCCUAGCGUUACGAAUAUAAUCGACGUAAUAAAAAUUCUCAACCGUUAUGGAUACGAGGAGCACGUAGAGAGGAUUUUAAAAUUUCUACCUGUAUCGUUGAAAUUAAAUGAUUUAUCUUUAAUUACCAAUGCCAUUGUCGAGCUGAUAUAUGCCGGUCAAAGGAAAAAUGCACUCAGGAUAAUAAUUAAUCUUCCUACGGAAUCAAAGGUUGCGAACAUUUGCGAGGAAUAUGUCAGACACUUUGUAAACGAGGGAAUACAAUUGGAUAAAUCGGACGAGGAUAUUUUAGAAAUGAUACACGAAAUCACAGACCAUAAAUAUUCUCCGUUUGUCAUAAACAAAGCUACCGAAGUUGCCCUGUCCAAAGGCAGGAUAUCUUUGGCUCUUAGUUUAUUCGAGGAAAUGAGAAAGAACGACAUACCGGUACGUUCUCAUUAUUAUUGGCCUUUGUUAAUAGAAGCGCAUAGGCUUGCAGACAGAAAGAAAUUUAACUCUCUCAUAUCGCACAUGAUAUCCUCGAACGUCGAGAUGGAUAAAGAUACGCUCAUUGACUACGUAUUACCUUUCGUGGUUCCUAAUUUCGUUGAUCCUAUUGAGAUGACGAAAACAUUGAUCGAUAAUGGAAUUAAUUAUAUGAACGUGAUAGAAAGCGUCAGUGCGUUUCUCUUGCGUGAAAACAAAUUGAACGAUCUAAUUUUAUUGCAAUCUAAAUUCAAAGCGAAAAUUAAUUUUUGUGAUAGUUACUUAGAAAAGUCUCUCAUCGAGGGAUAUGAAAAAGCAACCGACAAGUUGGCUUUCACGUCGUUUAUCUUAAAAAUUCUUUAUACGAUGAAGCCACCGUAUUUGUACAUUUUGAAUGGAUUACUAAACGACGCAGCCGAGUUUAAAAAGUUGCAGAGGCUUAUAGAAUUUUUACGAAUGUUAAAAAAAUAUAAAGUAACGUUGCCAAGGGCAGAGAUCGAUGUCAUGAAGAGACGCAUUGCUGACAUAAAUUUAUCGGAGGCAGACGAAUGGAAAACUCUCGAGGAUUUAUUGAAAGAGAUGAACGACAAGGAAAUGGACAUGAGUAUGAAAGGUGACUCGUCAGAUUUGAUAUUAUCAUUGAAUCCGCAUCCAAAUAAGAUGGACACCGAGGAACUGCGUAAUCAUAUUAUAGAACUUAAAUCUAAAAAUCUGAAUACUCGUGGGACGAUUAAGAAAUUACUCGAACGAUAUUGUAAAUACAACGAUUUAAAGGGUGCCGAGGGUAUAAAGGAAGAAAUUAUUUCGAAUAAUAUCGAUUGGACACCAGGAAUGAGAGCGAUGUUAUUUGAUUUGUAUGUCAAAAAUAAUCUAUUGGAUAAAGCCGAAGCCGAGUUAAAUGAAAUUCGAAAUAAUUUCAGUCAUUUCAUGUUAGAUAAUAACAAAAUAUUAUCGUAUGCUACUUGUUUGGUGAAAAACAAUAGGUUGGACGAUGCAUUCAAUGCGAUAAACGAUAUUAAAAAUAUUAAUGUUUCUAUGAAUGUUACUGGCAAAUGUUUGCGGUUGUUGUCUGCGAUAACGAAUGGCGAACGUCAUGGCGACGCCGAAAAAAUGUUAAUAACUCUCGUUAAGAAUAAUUAUUGUAAAUUGGACAAUAGUUUACUCAAUCCAUUGGUAAAAAGUCAUAUUAUGAGAAACGACAUAGAAUCUGCCGUGGAUACUUUUCUACGGUGUGCGAAUAAAUACAAGCAAACCCCGGCGAAACAAAUAUUAUUAGGAAUAUUGGUUAGGCAUAUGGGUGAUUCGUCGAUACCGAAUGUUAAGAAUAAGUUGAAGAAGGUUUUAAACAGUAUAAGAGAUAUUCACGGAGAGCCAGUGGCUCUGGUAAAGUUGAUCCUGGCAUUGGCGGAAGUCGGUAAAAUCGAACAAUUACGGGAUAUAUUUCAGAUGCGAAACGUGCAAAUGAAACUAUUGAUUAACGAUAUUCGUAAUUACGAUAACGACAGUAAACUGAAUAUAUCGUUAACUAUAUUCGAAGUCAUCAAGUAUACCAAAAACAUAAAUGUAAAUCUUUUGUGCGAUUACAUACUUUCGAUCUAUGGUAUGAUCAAAUUAAUGACAGCGAGGGAGCUAACCGGUUACUCAGAGAAAUGGAGAGGGCAUCGAUAAGGCCGACUGAAAAGUAUAUAAGUAAGUUCCGCGCGGCCCAAUAAAACGAGGAAAGAACGAUUAUGAAAUGUAAUUAUUUAACGCCAUUGAGCCCUAUUUGGAAAAUGUCAGAUGAAGGCAACUAUUCUUAAGGAACUUCCAAUAGCAAUAAAUAUUGGAGCGAUAUACAACACGCC